rnacentral:rRNA from 1 species
GUGCCAGCAGCCGCGGUAAUACGGAGGGUGCAAGCGUUGUUCGGAAUUAUUGGGCGUAAAGCGCGUGUAGGCGGGAAGGCAGGUCAGGUGUGAAAUCCCUUGGCUUAACCAAGGAACUGCAUCUGAAACCAUUUUCCUCGAGUACGAUAGGGGAGGGCGGAAUUCCCAGUGUAGAGGUGAAAUUCAUAGAUAUUGGGAGGAACACCAGUGGCGAAGGCGACCCUCUGGAUCGAUACUGACGCUGAGACGCGAAAGCGUGGGUAGCAAACAGGAUUAGAUACCCCCGUAGUCC